ACACGACUACGAGGUUUGAUCCUGGCUCAGGAUGAACGCUAGCGGCAGGCCUAAUACAUGCAAGUCGAACGGAUAUAUGUUUUUCGGAAUAUAUAUUAGUGGCGCACGGGUGAGUAACACGUACAUAACUUGCCCUCAAGCGGGGGAUAGCCUUGGGAAACUGAGAGUAAUGCCCCAUAGAAUUAUUGGACGGCAUCGUUUGAUAAUUAAAACUACGGUGUUUGGGGAUAGAUGUGCGUCUGAUUAGCUAGUUGGUGAGGUAACUGCUCACCAAGGCGACGAUCAGUAGGGGGCGUGAGAGCGUGGCCCCCCACACGGGUACUGAGACACGGACCCGACUCCUACGGGAGGCAGCAGUAAGGAAUAUUGGUCAAUGGAGGGAACUCUGAACCAGCCAUGCCGCGUGAAGGAUGACGGCCCUCUGGGUUGUAAACUUCUUUUGGAUGGGGCGAAAAAACGGGAUUUAUCCUGGACUGACGGUACCAUCAGAAUAAGCACCGGCUAACUCCGUG
rnacentral:rRNA from 1 species